rnacentral:misc_RNA from 1 species
GAAAAACUGGGGAAAAACUACAGCCUCACUGAGAUGUCUCGCAUGAUUGCUUGUGCUGCUGCUUGUGUUCGGCACUCGGCUAAGCGUCGGCCACGAAUGAGUCAGAUUGUCCGGGCCCUAGAAGGAGAUGUAUCGCUCGAGGAUCUCAACGAAGGCGUGCGACCCGGUCACAGUAGGCCCUUCGGUUCAUAUGCCAGCUCCGAUUACGAUUCCAGCCAGUACAACGAGGACAUGAAGAAGUUCAGAAAAAUGGCACUAGCAAGCCGAGACUAUGCUAGUAGCGAGUACAGCGCGCCGACCAGUGAAUACGGUCAGGUCCUCUCAGCAUCCAGCAGUGAAGCACAGGACACCCAAGAUAUAGAAUUGAUGAAGAUGAAAAGCAAUAUUCAAGGAUUCAUCAACUCCUGAAACUUCCACCGGUGACUGUUGUAAAAUUCCUUACCCUAAUUCUUUAUUUUCCCCAUUUUUCCAUGUGGGCUUUUAUUAUUUUGUGUGGAAUAUAUGCAAUGUGCAGGCCUAAAAUUUAGGUUUCGAAAUUUUCAGAC